GAUGAACGCUGGCGGCGUGCCUAAUACAUGCAAGUCGAGCGAACAGACGAGGAGCUUGCUCCUCUGACGUUAGCGGCGGACGGGUGAGUAACACGUGGAUAACCUACCUAUAAGACUGGGAUAACUUCGGGAAACCAGAGCUAAUACCGGAUAAUAUAUUGAACCGCAUGGUUCAAUAGUGAAAGACGGUUUUGCUGUCACUUAUAGAUGGAUCCGCGCCGCAUUAGCUAGUUGGUAAGGUAACGGCUUACCAAGGCAACGAUGCGUAGCCGACCUGAGAGGGUGAUCGGCCACACUGGAACUGAGACACGGUCCAGACUCCUACGGGAGGCAGCAGUAGGGAAUCUUCCGCAAUGGGCGAAAGCCUGACGGAGCAACGCCACGUGAGUGAUGAAGGUCUUCGGAUCGUAAAACUCUGUUAUUAGGGAAGAACAAAUGUGUAAGUAACUAUGCACGUCUUGACGGUACCUAAUCAGAAAGCCACGGCUAACUACGUG
rnacentral:rRNA from 1 species